GAUCUAUCAUUGUAAGAGACGAUGAUAUAUGGUGAGCUGCCUCACACCAUCAUUUGGUCUUUGUAGCAUUUGAGUUGGCAAAUUUGUUGGAUUCAUGCGAUUAGUCAUGCCAUGUAAAUCAAUCUGCUAUGGGAAAUGGGAGUUUGCAAACUACCGGAGUCUAAUUGCUGAGGGAUGAGGUUCAUAACUGAGGGUCAUGUGCAGAGCUGGAGGAAGAAGUUGCGAGGCUUGGAACUCUCCUUGUGAAGGGCUCAGGGAUAGCAGUGAGGACAAUGCCUCUUUAGUUGUAAUUGUGAUACUCCUGAUGUGCAAGUAAUCACUCCUGUGAUACUCCUUAUGCUAAAAUGUUGGUUGUUAGUACAGAGGUGGUGACAUUA